GAUGAACGCUGGCGGCGUGCCUAAUACAUGCAAGUCGAACGCGCCGAGAAGGGAACUUGUUCCUUUCAACGCGAGUGGCGAACGGGUGAGUAACACGUGGGAAACCUACCCUUCAGCGGGGGAUAACCAUCGGAAACGAUGACUAAUACCGCAUAGUUGUUCCAGUCGCAUGACUGGAAUGGGAAAGACGGCUUCGGCUGUCACUGAAGGAUGGUCCCGCGGUGCAUUAGCUAGACGGUGGGGUAACGGCCUACCGUGGCUUUGAUGCAUAGCCGACCUGAGAGGGUGAUCGGCCACAUUGGGACUGAGACACGGCCCAAACUCCUACGGGAGGCAGCAGUAGGGAAUCUUCCGCAAAGGACGCAAGUCUGACGGAGCAACGCCGCGUGUGUGAAGAAGGUCUUCGGAUCGUAAAGCACUGUUAUCAGAGAAGAAUAGCCGAUAGAGUAACUGUUAUAGGUUUGACGGUAACUGAUCAGAAAGCCACGGCUAACUACGUG
rnacentral:rRNA from 1 species